rnacentral:tRNA from 1 species
CGCUCUUGUGGUUUAAUGGCAGAACGUUUGACUUGUAAUCAGAAGGUAAAAGUUCGAUUCUUUUUAAGAGCGG